rnacentral:lncRNA from 1 species
GGGAAAAUAAGAAAAAGGAAACGAGAAUUUUUUGCCGAUGGCAUCAAGAUGAAGGGAGGAACAAAUAAGCUCCCUUUCUUCUGUCACAUAACAGAGACUAUGUUCUUUUUCCUUCCUCCCUUCUCUCCUCCUCUUGCUGCCGGCGGUGGUUCUCGGUUCAGAUUUCACAUUUCAGAGAGACGGGUGCCGUCACUGCGCCGCGACGGUGCGGGAGGACGACGGUGGCACGGCCGGCGGAGGCGCGGCGGAGGUGGUGGCGGCCGGGGAGGGAGGGGACGCCGGGUGGCCGUGGCCGUGGGAGCUGCUGCGGUGGAGGCGGCACUUGAACGACCCAGCGUGUGUGGCCGGGGCGCAGACGCACUUGGGCGCGUGGCCGUGGCCGUGGGCG